rnacentral:rRNA from 1 species
AUUGAACGCUGGCGGCAUGCCUUACACAUGCAAGUCGAACGGUAACGGGUCCUUCGGGAUGCCGACGAGUGGCGAACGGGUGAGUAAUAUAUCGGAGCGUGCCCAGUAGUGGGGGAUAACUGCUCGAAAGAGCAGCUAAUACCGCAUACGACCUGAGGGUGAAAGGGGGGGAUCGCAAGACCUCUCGCUAUUGGAGCGGCCGAUAUCGGAUUAACUAGUUGGUGGGGUAAAGGCCUACCAAGGCAACGAUCUGUAGUUGGUCUGGGAGGACGGCCAGCAACACUGGGACUGAGACACGGCCCAGACUCCUACGGGAGGCAGAAGUGGGGAAUUUUGGACAAUGGGCGCCAGCCUGGUCCAGCAAUGCCGCGUGCAGGAAGAAGGCCUUGGGGUUGUAAACUGCUUUUGUCAGGGAAGAAAUCUUCUGGGCUAAUACCCCGGGAGGAUGACGGUACCUGAAGAAUAAGCACCGGCUAACUACGUGCCAGCCGCCGCCGUAA